rnacentral:rRNA from 1 species
UACGUAGGGUGCGAGCGUUAAUCGGAAUUACUGGGCGUAAAGCGUGCGCAGGCGGCUUUGCAAGACAGAUGUGAAAUCCCCGGGCUCAACCUGGGAACUGCAUUUGUGACUGCAAGGCUAGAGUACGGCAGAGGGGGAUGGAAUUCCGCGUGUAGCAGUGAAAUGCGUAGAUAUGCGGAGGAACACCGAUGGCGAAGGCAAUCCCCUAGACCUGUACUGACGCUCAUGCACGAAAGCGUGGGGAGCAAACAGG